rnacentral:rRNA from 1 species
CACAGGGAUGCCCUAGUAACGGCGAGUGAAGCGGCAACAGCUCAAAUUUGAAAUCUGGCGUCUUCGGCGUCCGAGUUGUAAUUUGCAGAGGGCGCUUUGGCAUUGGCAGCGGUCCAAGUUCCUUGGAACAGGACGUCACAGAGGGUGAGAAUCCCGUACGUGGUCGCUAGCCUUUACCGUGUAAAGCCCCUUCGACGAGUCGAGUUGUUUGGGAAUGCAGCUCUAAAUGGGAGGUAAAUUUCUUCUAAAGCUAAAUACUGGCCAGAGACCGAUAGCGCACAAGUAGAGUGAUCGAAAGAUGAAAAGCACUUUGGAAAGAGAGUUAAAAAGCACGUGAAAUUGUUGAAAGGGAAGCGCUUGCAGCCAGACUUGCCUGUAGUUGCUCAUCCGGGUUUCUACCCGGUGCACUCUUCUAUAGGCAGGCCAGCAUCAGUUUGGGCGGUUGGAUAAAGGUCUCUGUCAUGUACCUCUCUUCGGGGAGAACUUAUAGGGGAGACGACAUGCAACCAGCCUGGACUGAGGUCCGCGCAUCUGCUAGGAUGCUGGCGUAAUGGCUGUAAGCGGCCCGUCUUGAAACACGGACCAAGGAGUCUAACAUCUAUGCGAGUGUUUGGGUGUCAAGCCCGAGCGCGUAAUGAAAGUGAACGGAGGUGGGAACCUUUCGGGGUGCACCAUCGACCGAUCCUGAUGUCUUCGGAUGGAUUUGAGUAAGAGCAUAGCUGUUGGGACCCGAAAGAUGGUGAACUAUGCUUGAAUAGGGUGAAGCCAGAGGAAACUCUGGUGGAGGCUCGCAGCGGUUCUGACGUGCAAAUCGAUCGUCAAAUUUGGCAUAGGGCGAAAGACUAAUCGAACUAUCUAGUAGCUGGUUCCUGCCGAAGU